rnacentral:rRNA from 1 species
UAAUACCAGCUCCCCGAGUGGUCAGGACGAUUAUUGGGCCUAAAGCGUCCGUAGCCGGCCCUGUAAGUCUCCUGUUAAAUUCAUCGGCUCAACCGAUGAGCUGCAGGAGAUACUGCAGGGCUAGGAGGCGGAAGAGGCGGACGGUAUUCCGUGGGUAGGGGUAAAAUCCUCUGAUCCACGGAGGACCACCAGUGGCGAAGGCGGUCCGCCAGAACGCGCUCGACGGUGAGGGACGAAAGCUGGGGGAGCGAACCGGAUUAGAUACCCGGGUAGUCCCAGCCGUAAACGAUGCGGGCUAGGUGAUGGGAUAGCUACGGGCUAUCCCAGUGCCGCAGGGAAGCCGUUAAGCCCGCCGCUUGGGGAGUACGGCCGCAAGGCUG